GAGUUUGAUCGUGGCUCAGGAUGAACGCUGGCGGCGUGCCUAAUACAUGCAAGUCGAGCGAACGGACGAGAAGCUUGCUUCUCUGAUGUUAGCGGCGGACGGGUGAGUAACACGUGGAUAACCUACCUAUAAGACUGGGAUAACUUCGGGAAACCGGAGCUAAUACCGGAUAAUAUUUUGAACCGCAUGGUUCAAAAGUAAAAGACGGUCUUGCUGUCACUUAUAGAUGGAUCCGCGCUGCAUUAGCUAGUUGGUAAGGUAACGGCUUACCAAGGCAACGAUGCAUAGCCGACCUGAGAGGGUGAUCGGCCACACUGGAACUGAGACACGGUCCAGACUCCUACGGGAGGCAGCAGUAGGGAAUCUUCCGCAAUGGGCGAAAGCCUGACGGAGCAACGCCGCGUGAGUGAUGAAGGUCUUCGGAUCGUAAAACUCUGUUAUUAGGGAAGAACAUAUGUGUAAGUAACUGUGCACAUCUUGACGGUACCUAAUCAGAAGCCACGGCUAACUACGUG
rnacentral:rRNA from 1 species